GAUGAACGCUAGCUACAGGCUUAACACAUGCAAGUCGAGGGGAAACGACAUCGAAAGCUUGCUUUUGAUGGGCGUCGACCGGCGCACGGGUGAGUAACGCGUAUCCAACCUGCCCACCACUUGGGAAUAACCUUGCGAAAGUAAGACUAAUACCUAAUGAUAUCCCACGAAGGCAUCCGAACGGGAUUAAAGAUUUAUCGGUGAUGGAUGGGGAUGCGUCUGAUUAGCUUGUUGGCGGGGUAACGGCCCACCAAGGCGACGAUCAGUAGGGGUUCUGAGAGGAAGGUCCCCCACAUUGGAACUGAGACACGGUCCAAACUCCUACGGGAGGCAGCAGUGAGGAAUAUUGGUCAAUGGGCGAGAGCCUGAACCAGCCAAGUAGCGUGCAGGAUGACGGCCCUAUGGGUUGUAAACUGCUUUUAUAAGGGAAUAAAGUGAGUCUCGUGAGACUUUUUGCAUGUACCUUAUGAAUAAGGACCGGCUAAUUCCGUGCCAGCCGCCGCCGUAA
rnacentral:rRNA from 1 species